rnacentral:ncRNA from 1 species
UUAAUAGAAUAAAUAUGCACAUAUAACUGCAAGAAUAUGGCUUGCGAGUUUCUACCGUUUAACCGUAAAUUUAACGACUAUGGGCUUUCUUAGUA